rnacentral:rRNA from 1 species
GACGUAGGGCGCGAGCGUUGUCCGGAUUUAUUGGGCGUAAAGAGCUCGUAGGCGGCUCGUUGCGUCGGCUGUGAAAACCCGCAGCUCAACUGUGGGCUUGCAGCCGAUACGGGCGGGCUGGGAUUCGGUAGGGGAGACUGGAAUUCCUGGUGUAGCGGUGAAAUGCGUAGAUAUCAGGAGGAACACCUGUGGUGUAGACAGCUUACUGGACCACUUCUGACGCUGAGACACGAAAGCGUGGGUAGCAAACAGG